GCAUCGAUGAAAGAACGCAGCGAAAUGCGAUAACUAAUGUGAAUUGCAGAAUUCAGUGAAAUCAUCGAAGUCUUUGAACGCACAUUGCGCCCUCUGGUAUUCCGGAGGGCAUGCCUGUCCGAGCGUCAUU
rnacentral:rRNA from 1 species